rnacentral:rRNA from 1 species
AAAGGCUUACCUAAGGCGAUGAUGCAUAGCCCGAGUUGAGAGACUGAUCGGGCCACAUUGGGGACUGAGACACGGGGCCCAAACUCCUACGGGGGGAGGGGGCAGCAGUAGGGGGAAGUCUUCCACAAUGGACGCAAGUCUGAUGGAGCAACGCCGCGUGAGUGAAGAAGGUUUUCGGAUCGUAAAGCUCUGUUGUUGGUGAAGAAGGAUAGAGGUAGUAACUGGCCUUUAUUUGACGGUAAUCAACCAGAAAGUCACGGCUAACUACGUGCCAGCAGCCGCGGUAAU